rnacentral:rRNA from 1 species
UGGGGAAUAUUGCACAAUGGACGGAAGUCUGAUGCAGCAACGCCGCGUGCGGGAUGACGGCCUUCGGGUUGUAAACCGCUUUUUCUCAUGACGAAGUUUUUUGACGGUAGUGGGGGAAGAAGCACCGGCUAACUACGUGCCAGCAUCCGCGGUGAUACGUCGGGUGCGAGCGUUGUCCGGAAUUAUUGGGCGUAAAGAGCUUGUAGGCGGUUUGUCGCGUCGAUAGUGCAAACUCAGUGCUUAACGCUGAGCCUGCUGUUGAUACGGGCAGACUAGAGGAAGGUAGGGGAGAAUGGAAUUCCCGGUGGAGCGGUGGAAUGCGCAGAUAUCGGGAGGAACACCGGUGGCGAAGGCGGUUCUCUGGGCCUUUCCUGACGCUGAGAAGCGAAAGCGUGGGGAGCGAACAGG